rnacentral:rRNA from 1 species
GACGAACGCUUGCGACGUGCCUAAGACAUGCAAGUCGAACGGUGUAGCAAUACACAGUGGCGGACGGGUGAGUAAUGAAUCGCUAAUGUACCCUUAGGCCAGGGAUAGCCAUCUGAAAGGAUGGGUAAUACCUGAUGUUUUAACUCUUGGGCAUCCUUGAGUUCACAAAGCAGCAAUGCACCUUUGGAGCAGGCGAUUUCGUACCAGGUAGUUGGUGAGGAACGGCUCACCAAGCCGACGACGCGUAGCCGGGCUGAGAGGUUGGCCGGCCACAUUGGGACUGAGACACUGCCCAGACU